AGGGCAGACGGUGGAUGCCUUGGCUCUCGGAGGCGACGAAGGACGUGAUAAGCUGCGAAAAGCCCGGGGGAGGCGCAAAUAGCCCUUGAUCCCGGGAUAUCCGAAUGGGGCAACCCGGCAGGCUGAAGGCCUGUCAUCCCGUAAGGGAGGCGAACGUGGGGAACUGAAACAUCUAAGUACCCAUAGGAGGAGAAAAUAAACAAUGAUUCCGUAAGUAGUGGCGAGCGAACACGGAAGAGCCCAAACCCAUGUCGUCUAGGCGACACGGGGGUUGUAGGACCACGACGUGGCAAGAUAGAGUCAAGUGGAACGCCUUGGAAAAGGCGGUCAUAGAGGGUGAAAACCCCGUACACGACUGACGAUUGAAGCCUAGUGGCAUCCUGAGUAGCGCGGGGCACGAGAAAUCUUGCGUGAAACAGCGGGGCCCAUCCCGUAAGGCUAAAUACUCCCGAGAGACCGAUAGCGAACCAGUACCGUGAGGGAAAGGUGAAAAGAACCCCGAGCAGGGGAGUGAAAUAGACCCUGAACCCGUCUGCCUACAAGCGGUCGGAGCAUAGCAAUAUGUGACGGCGUGCCUUUUGCAUAAUGAACCUACGAGUUACCUUCCCCGGCAAGGUUAAGUACCUAAGGUACGGAGCCGAAGCGAAAGCGAGUCUGAAGAGGGCGGCCAGUCGGGGGGGGUAGACGCGAAACCGAGUGAUCUACCCUUGGCCAGGUUGAAGGUUGGGUAACACCAACUGGAGGACCGGAUGGGUAAGCGUUGAAAAGCUUUCCAAUGAGCUGAGGGUAGGGGUGAAAGGCUAAUCAAACUCGGAGAUAGCUCGUACUCCCCGAAAUGCAUUUAGGUGCAGCCUCUUUAUAGUAUAUCGUGAGGUAGAGCGACUGAUUGGAUGCGAGGGCUUCACCGCCUAUCAAGUCCAGAUAAACUCCGAAUGCGCGAUAUAUAUUUACAGGGAGUGAGGGCGCGGGUGCUAAGGUCCGUGUCCGAGAGGAGAAGAAUCCAGACCACCGGCUAAGGCCCCCAAAUGAUCGUUGAGUUGAACUAACGAGGUCGGAUCGCAGAGACAGCUAGGAUGUUGGCUUGGAAGCAGCCAUUCAUUUAAAGAGUGCGUAACAGCUCACUAGUCGAGCGAUCUGGCGUGGAUAAUAAUCGGGCAUAAACGAUCUGCCGAAGCCGUGGAUGUCGUAAGACAUGGUAGGGGAGCAUUCCAUGCGGCGUCGAAGAUGAGGGAUGACCCUUGUUGGAGCGCAUGGAAAAGCAAAUGUAGGUAUGAGUAACGAUAAGGGGGGCGAGAAACCCCCCCGCCGAAAGACCAAGGUUUCCUGAUCAACGCUAAUCGGAUCAGGGUGAGUCGGGACCUAAGGCAAAGCCGAACGGCGCCGCCGAUGGAAGAAUGGGUUAAUAUUCCCAUACUGCCUCAUGGAGUGACGUGGAGACGGAGAAGUGACAGUCCUGCCGGCUGACGGAAUAGCCGGUUGAAGGGUGUAGAUAUUGAUUCCCGUAGGCAAAUCCGCGGGGAGAGUCGAACCUGACAGUAUACCGAGUACUUGUACGAGGUAAUAUGGACGUAACCAUGCUCCCAAGAAAAUCCGCUAAACUUAUCCAUGCGGCACCCGUACCGUAAACGGACACACGUGGUCGGGUUGAGAAUACUGAGGCGCUCGAGUGACUCACGGUUAAGGAACUAGGCAAAUUGACCCUGUAACUUCGGGAUAAAGGGUCCUCGUCGUAAGGCGAGGCGCAGAGAAUAGGUCCAGGCAACUGUUUAACAAAAACACAUGGCUAUGCUAAAUGGAAACAUGACGUAUAUAGCCUGACACCUGCCCGGUGCUGGAAGGUUAAGAGGAGAUGUCAUCGCAAGAGAAGCGUUGAAUUGAAGCCCCAGUAAACGGCGGCCGUAACUAUAACGGUCCUAAGGUAGCGAAAUUCCUUGUCGGGUAAGUUCCGACCUGCACGAAUGGUGUAAUGAUCUGGACACUGUCUCAACCGUGAGCUCAGUGAAAUUGUAGUAUCGGUGAAGAUGCCGAUUACCCGCGAUGGGACGAAAAGACCCCGUGAACCUUUACUAUAGCUUUACAUUGAAUUUGGGCAGACGAUGUGUAGGAUAGGCCGGAGGCUUUGAAGGGGGUACGCCAGUAUCCUUGGAGCCGCCGUUGAAAUACGGCCCUUCGGUUGUUUGAGUUCUAACUCCUAGGCAGGAGGACACUGUAUGGUGGGUAGUUUGACUGGGGUGGUCGCCUCCAAAAGCGUAACGGAGGCUUCUAAAGGUGCCCUCAGACCGAUUGGUAACCGGUCGUAGAGUGUAAUGGCAUAAGGGCGCUUGACUGGGAGAGAUACAACUCGAUCAGGUAGGAAACUAGAGCAUAGUGAUCCGGUGGUUCCGCAUGGAAGGGCCAUCGCUCAAAGGAUAAAAGGUACUCCGGGGAUAACAGGCUGAUCAUUCCCAAGAGCUCAUAUCGACGGAAUGGUUUGGCACCUCGAUGUCGGCUCGUCACAUCCUGGGGCUGGAGAAGGUCCCAAGGGUUGGGCUGUUCGCCCAUUAAAGUGGCACGCGAGCUGGGUUCAGAACGUCGUGAGACAGUUCGGUCUCUAUCUAUCGUGGGCGCAGGAGAUUUGAGGGGCUCUGACACUAGUACGAGAGGACCGUGUUGGACGUACCACUGGUUUACCGGUUGUCCCGCCAGGGGCACCGCCGGGUAUCUAAGUACGGAUCGGAUAAGUGCUGAAAGCAUCUAAGUACGAAGCCGGCCUCAAGAUUAGAUCUCCCUGAAGGGUGGUUAUAGACGAUGACCUUGA
rnacentral:rRNA from 1 species